GUGUUCCGGGCUUUUCGUAUUUUUCUAUUUCUUCGACUUUUCAAAAAAGAAAAAAAGAUGCCGUUGCACGAUCGCGCUUCGAUAUUCAAAUCUAUACACACGUACGUAAUCUAUAUAACUUUAUAGUUCUCGACAGUUUGCAGGUGGCGCGAUGACUAAGGAACUAAGCUGAAUAAUCUUUGGCGGUUUGUUGUAACAAGAUUGAUCUUUCUUGUUUUGUAACAGUGGUGUUAAAUUUUGUGUUAUCAAUAUCUACAAUAUCAUCGAAAAUGCACGCACAUUGUUCUUUUAUAAAAAUUAUCGGCCAUUUUGUAACAGAAUCUUCAUGUCACCACUACGUUCAUAUAUCAAGAUUGGUAAGUUUGAAAAAUAUAUUCAAUUUAAUAAUUCAUUAUCGUCUUCAACGAUAAUAUAUUUUCAAAUGUUUCUUCUUGCGUACAUCUUCGAUAGAAUAAUUCGAUAGAAUAAAGUGAAAAGUGAAAAACAAAUCGAAAACGCAAGCGCGAACGAUCCGGCAAAAAUAAAAUCUGUUGAGAACGUAUGAAUUGAUUGUAAGAAACACGCUUAUUGUGGCUACUUUGUUGUGUACAUGCGUACUUAAUGCUAGAACUAGAUCCUGAACACAUCGUUCUCUAAGUGACAUCGUGCUAUUAAGCGCAUUUUAUUAUCAUCGACGGAGUCUAAGGUACUCGGCCUCCUCGAAUAUGCUGUAAAACGAGGUUGCAUUCUCGAUUCUCACAUAUAAUACGAAUAUAUCUGUCAAGAUGUAUGGAAGGGAUUGGUGUUUCUUAUGCGUGGUUUAAGGUAGUAAGUCCAUGUCUUACACGAAAGUCACGUUGGCGAAAGCUACAAUUCCCUUACAUAAAUUACCGUUUAUCGGAAUAUAUAAAAUAUAUUAUGUAUAAUAAUAUAUUAUAUAUAUAUCAUAACUGUGUACACUAUGUUAUUAGCUAUCCCUAUAUUGCAUGUAUAUUAUAUUAUAUUAGAUAAAGGACGCGCGUUUAAUGUUCAUUUGAAGAUUCAGGCGUUCGAUUCGUAUUCUCUGUUCUACAAAUAUACAUACAAAGUUACGUUCACUGAACGAGCCAUGGGCGCGGUUCGAACCAGGAACAUCAUUGGCUCACUCGUACUGCAACCGAUAGGGUCGCGUGUGUAUAUGAAUAUCCGAUUCGUUUUGGAACGUAUUGGUAUUGCAAUAAAAAUGGUCUGCCAGAUGGUCAUAUAUCGUAAUAAUACAUAUUUCUCCCUCUCAACUUUAUAUAUUUUGAACUAUCUACAUUACUUCUCCAAAUGGGAAAUAAAUAUUCGUUCAACUGAAAUUAUCACGUAUUGCAGUUAGAGAAACACCGGCACCAACUACAAUAUAAUCGUGUGCGGGGAUCACAUGAAAUUGGGCCGGGGGAGCAUUCGUUCACCUUUCUUCUCCGUUUCCCUCUUCAUCUAAUUUCCUUUUCUCCCUCAUUUUUUUUUUUCAUUUUUCUUUGCUUAUACUAAGGCAACUAACGAAUAGUUAAAAAAUUGUCAAGGCUCUUAUUGGAAGGAUUACAAAACGCGACGCGUUCAUGUUGUCGUUCAUGUUAUUCUCUGAUAUAUUAUUAAUAAAUAAAAUUUUAUUGACAACUGUAACGCGUCACUCUAUAUAAUACGAACGACACUAUCUCGGAUACGAGGGUCUCGUCCUUGAAACGUAGCAGAAAUGGUGUUCACUAGCAUUGCAAUCGCAAUUUCUUGCUCUCAUUCGAUCCUCCUCCCUCGUUCUCUCUUGGUACGAUACCGUAAACUAUACGAGUAAAACGAGCGACGAAAUGUGUUCCCACAAAUGUGUUCGCGUUGCUUAUUUCGCGUCAGUCUAACAAGACAAGAUUCACUUAAUGUUAACUUGUGUUCCACCUGCUUUCAUCGACACUGUUCGUUCGACCGUUACUAUUACUAUACAACAAAGAUCGAGAUAUAGUUUCGUAGCCAUGAGUCAGAGGAGAGAUUGCGUGAAAGCUUUUGAAGUUCAAAGUUUUUAAGAAUUGGUAAUAACCAUGCAAAGUAUUCUCCUAGUCUUUGAUUGAAUAUAUUCGAGAUAUUCGUUCGAUAGAUAUCUUGAAGAAGUUCUUGAUUGGUUCUUGAUUGUAUUUUGGAAACUCGAAGGAAAAUCAGAAUAAAUU
rnacentral:lncRNA from 1 species